rnacentral:rRNA from 1 species
GAUGAACGCCGGCGGUGUGCCUAAUACAUGCAAGUCGAACGCGUUGGCCCAAUUGAUUGACGGUGCUUGCACCUGAUUGAUUUUGGUCGCCAACGAGUGGCGGACGGGUGAGUAACACGUAGGUAACCUGCCCAGAAGCGGGGGACAACAUUUGGAAACAGAUGCUAAUACCGCAUAACAACGUUGUUCGCAUGAACAACGCUUAAAAGAUGGCUUCUCGCUAUCACUUCUGGAUGGACCUGCGGUGCAUUAGCUUGUUGGUGGGGUAACGGCCUACCAAGGCGAUGAUGCAUAGCCGAGUUGAGAGACUGAUCGGCCACAAUGGGACUGAGACACGGCCCAUACUCCUACGGGAGGCAGCAGUAGGGAAUCUUCCACAAUGGGCGCAAGCCUGAUGGAGCAACACCGCGUGAGUGAAGAAGGGUUUCGGCUCGUAAAGCUCUGUUGUUAAAGAAGAACACGUAUGAGAGUAACUGUUCAUACGUUGACGGUAUUUAACCAGAAAGUCACGGCUAACUACGUGCCAGCAGCCGCGGUAAUACGUAGGUGGCAAGCGUUAUCCGGAUUUAUUGGGCGUAAAGAGAGUGCAGGCGGUUUUCUAAGUCUGAUGUGAAAGCCUUCGGCUUAACCGGAGAAGUGCAUCGGAAACUGGAUAACUUGAGUGCAGAAGAGGGUAGUGGACUCCAUGUGUAGCGGUGGAUGCGUAGAUAUAUGGAAGAACACCAGUGGCGAAGGCGGCUACCUGGUCUGCAACUG